rnacentral:rRNA from 1 species
GACGAACGCUGGCGGCGUGCUUAACACAUGCAAGUCGAACGAUGAACCCGGAGUUUGCUCUGGGGGAUUAGUGGCGAACGGGUGAGUAACACGUGAGUAACCUGCCCUGGACUCUGGGAUAAGCGUUGGAAACGACGUCUAAUACCGGAUAGGACCUUGGAUCGCAUGAUCUGGGGUGGAAAGUUUUUUCGGUCUGGGAUGGACUCGCGGCCUAUCAGCUUGUUGGUGAGGUAAUGGCUCACCAAGGCGUCGACGGGUAGCCGGCCUGAGAGGGUGACCGGCCACACUGGGACUGAGACACGGCCCAGACUCCUACGGGAGGCAGCAGUGGGGAAUAUUGCACAAUGGGCGAAAGCCUGAUGCAGCAACGCCGCGUGCGGGAUGACGGCCUUCGGGUUGUAAACCGCUUUUAGUAGGGAAGAAGGGCUUCGGCUUGACGGUACCUGCAGAAAAAGGACCGGCUAACUACGUG